AGCCCGUGACGAGGACAUAGCCACAUCAUGUCCUUGUAUCGUUCCCAUGCUUCAAAAAGUGAUUCUCCUUCUGUCUGUCUGAACAUGGUUAUGUGAUUUCUUAGCAC